ensembl:rRNA 5S_rRNA 5S ribosomal RNA
GCUUAUGGGCAUACCACCCUGUCUGUGCCCUAUCUUGUCUGAUCUCGGAAGCUAAGCAGGGUCGGGCCUGGUUAGUACUUGGAUGGGAGACCGCCUGGGAAUACCAGGUGCUGUAAGCU